rnacentral:rRNA from 1 species
CCUACGUGAGGCAGCAGUAGGGAAUCUUCCACAAUGGGCGAAAGCCUGAUGGAGCAACGCCGCGUGGGUGAAGAAGGUCUUCGGAUCGUAAAACCCUGUUGUUAGAGAAGAAAGUGCGUGAGAGUAACUGUUCACGUUUCGACGGUAUCUAACCAGAAAGCCACGGCUAACUACGUGCCAGCAGCCGCGGUAAUACGUAGGUGGCAAGCGUUAUCCGGAUUUAUUGGGCGUAAAGGGAACGCAGGCGGUCUUUUAAGUCUGAUGUGAAAGCCUUCGGCUUAACCGGAGUAGUGCAUUGGAAACUGGGAGACUUGAGUGCAGAAGAGGAGAGUGGAACUCCAUGUGUAGCGGUGAAAUGCGUAGAUAUAUGGAAGAACACCAGUGGCGAAAGCGGCUCUCUGGACUGUAACUGACGCUGAGGUUCGAAAGCGUGGGUAGCAAACAGGAUUAGAUACCCGGGUAGUC